GCCAGGUUCUGUGAUUCAUACUGUAGGGUGGCCUUUGGACAUGAAGACAUAUGGAGGAUCAUUUCUAUACCACCUUGAUGAUAGACAGGUACUUUUGAGAUUGCAGCUUGUCAUUACCACGUAUUAUAUGUUUUGCUUGCAAGGAUUGUUAUCUGUGCAAAUAUAUAAUAUACAAUCUCAUUUCUACACCACCUUGAUGAUAGACAGGUACUUUUGAAAUUUGCAGCUCAUCAUUAUUGGUGUUAUAUGUUUUGCUUGCAAUAAUUGAUCUGUGUAAAUAUAUAAUAUACCAUCUCAGAUUAUAGGAACCAUUCUUCUGCACAACCUAAAUUUAGUCAGCAAAAAAAGGUUCAUCUGACUUUGCUGUGUCAAGUGAUCUCUUCUAUGAACAAAAAUCUUCACUUGAGUUUUGUUGUUGUUGAACUUGUUAUUUCUAUUAGAAGAAUGCCAAAACAGCACGGAAGCUACAGAAGCACCGGUCUGUUGUCUACCCAAAUCAGAAACCAAUACACUAAAAUCCUAAAACAAAGGAAGGAAAAGCAGUAAAGCACCACAAACAUUUUCGUUUGAGUUGGAAGGGGGAAGUGAUAGUUCAUCCUCUAUCAUUUG
rnacentral:lncRNA from 1 species